UGGGGAAUAUUGGGCAAUGGAGGCAACUCUGACCCAGCAAUGCCGCGUGAGUGAAGAAGGUCUUCGGAUUGUAAAGCUCUGUUCUAAGGGACGAAAACAAUGACGGUACCUUAGAAGAAAGCCACGGCAAACUACGUGCCAGCAGCCGCGGUAAUACGUAGGUGGCAAGCGUUGUCCGGAAUGACUGGGCGUAAAGGGUGCGUAGGCGGUUUUUUAAGUUGGAAGUGUAAUCCCGAAGCUUAACUUCGGUGCUACUUCCAAAACUGGAGAACUCUGAGUGUGGGAGAGGUAAGUGGAAUUCCUAGUGUAGCGGUGGAAUGCGUAGAUAUUAGGAGGAACACCAGUGGCGAAGGCGACUUACUGGACCAUAACUGACGCUGAGGCACGAAAGCGUGGGGAGCAAACA
rnacentral:rRNA from 1 species